GUUCAACUCUUUUUUCUACCACCUGAAACGCAAACACUUCGACUUUUUGGACAAUGGACGGCCACCGACACAGCCACUCAAUUUUGUUUCAACUAGGUUUGGUCAAGAAAAUUACGAUACUCCUAUUUUCCGCGGCUGUGUUAGCUUUGAUCGUGUUGAGGCAGCACCAUCACAGGAUGGACUGGAUGUUGAGGCAGCACCCUCACAGGAGGAUCGAUCGGAUGGGCCGGAUAGUCCUACCCAAGUGGAUAACGAGAACAGUAGUUCUACCUGCACCAACAAUCAAGACCAAGCCUCUGAACAUACAGACAUACAUUUGGAAAUGAUACAGACAGAUCUACAGAGCACGGGGGAGGCAUCCUCUGGUGGAAGGGACCACAGCCUAAACAAGCAUGCAGCAGCAUUUGCUCUGAAGAUCCGCGAGAGAUGCUGCUUAUCUCAGGACAAUGUCAACAGUGUUAUUGCUGAUGUCCAACAGUACCAAGCCUCCCUUCUAGACCGCCUGAGAGACCAGACCAAGAAUGCUUUUGAAACCCAUGUUGAAAGGGAGGAGCUCCAAACAGCGAUCCUAGCAGUAUUUGAUGAUUUCAAAGACCCCUUUUCAGAGGUUUCAUCUACACAUCUACAGGACAGAAGCAUCAGGCAUUUCUUUAACCCAGUUGAGCCAGAAGAGGUAGUCAUAUCUCGAACUGUAUGCAGACUCAGGGGGAAAAACCAAGGAGCUCUUACCAUUAAAGCAAACUCCUUUUUCUAUGUACCCUUA